AACGUAGGAGACAACCGUUAUCCGGAGUUACUGGGCGUAAAGGGCGUGUAGGUGGUUUCGUAAGUCUGGCGUGAAAUUUUUCGGCUUAACCGGGAAAGGUCGUCGGAUACUGCGGAACUAGAGGACGGUAGAGGCGUGUGGAAUUCCGGGUGUAGUGGUGAAAUGCGUAGAGAUCCGGAGGAACACCAGUGGCGAAGGCGACACGCUGGGCCGUACCUGACACUGAUGCGCGACAGCAUGGGGAGCAAACAGG
rnacentral:rRNA from 1 species